rnacentral:rRNA from 1 species
UACAGAGGUCUCAAGCGUUGUUCGGAUUCAUUGGGCGUAAAGGGUGCGUAGGCGGACCUGCAAGUCGGGGGUGAAAGCCCGAGGCUCAACCUCGGAACUGCCUUCGAUACUGCGGGUCUCGAGUCCGGGAGAGGUGAGUGGAAUUCCGUAGUGUAGAGGUGAAAUUCGUAGAUAUUAGGAAGAACACCAGUGGCGAAGGCGGCUCACUGGCCCGGUACUGACGCUGAGGCGCGAAAGCGUGGGGAGCAAACAGGG